GGUUAAGCGACUAAGCGUACACGGUGGAUGCCCUGGCAGUCAGAGGCGAUGAAGGGCGUGCUAAUCUGCGAUAAGCGCCGGUAAGGUGAUAUGAACCGUUAUAACCGGCGAUACCCGAAUGGGGAAACCCAGUGUGACUCGUCACACUAUCAUUAACUGAAUCCAUAGGUUAAUGAGGCGAACCGGGGGAACUGAAACAUCUAAGUACCCCGAGGAAAAGAAAUCAACCGAGAUUCCCCCAGUAGCGGCGAGCGAACGGGGAGGAGCCCAGAGCCUGAAUCAGCAUGUGUGUUAGUGGAAGCGUCUGGAAAGGCGCGCGAUACAGGGUGACAGCCCCGUACACAAAAGCGCAUGUGCUGUGAGCUCGAUGAGUAGGGCGGGACACGUGGUAUCCUGUCUGAAUAUGGGGGGACCAUCCUCCAAGGCUAAAUACUCCUGACUGACCGAUAGUGAACCAGUACCGUGAGGGAAAGGCGAAAAGAACCCCGGCGAGGGGAGUGAAAAAGAACCUGAAACCGUGUACGUACAAGCAGUGGGAGCCCCACCACCAAAGCAUUCUCUGGUGUUGAAGGCCCUGCAAAGCAGCAUCGCGGUGGCGGAGCGUCGUUUGCGACGCCCAACACACAAAACAAGCGGUGAAUGCUUUGGGGUGGGGUGACUGCGUACCUUUUGUAUAAUGGGUCAGCGACUUAUAUUCUGUAGCAAGGUUAACCGAAUAGGGGAGCCGGAGGGAAACCGAGUCUUAAUUGGGCGUUAAGUUGCAGGGUAUAGACCCGAAACCCGGUGAUCUAGCCAUGGGCAGGUUGAAGGUUGGGUAACACUAACUGGAGGACCGAACCGACUAAUGUUGAAAAAUUAGCGGAUGACCUGUGGCUGGGGGUGAAAGGCCAAUCAAACCGGGAGAUAGCUGGUUCUCCCCGAAAGCUAUUUAGGUAGCGCCUCGUGAAUUCAUCUCCGGGGGUAGAGCACUGUUUCGGCUAGGGGGCCAUCCCGGCUUACCAACCCGAUGCAAACUGCGAAUACCGGAGAAUGUUAUCACGGGAGACACACGGCGGGUGCUAACGUCCGUCGUGAAGAGGGAAACAACCCAGACCGCCAGCUAAGGUCCCAAAGUCAUGGUUAAGUGGGAAACGAUGUGGGAAGGCCCAGACAGCCAGGAUGUUGGCUUAGAAGCAGCCAUCAUUUAAAGAAAGCGUAAUAGCUCACUGGUCGAGUCGGCCUGCGCGGAAGAUGUAACGGGGCUAAACCAUGCACCGAAGCUGCGGCAGCGACGCUGAUGCGUUGUUGGGUAGGGGAGCGUUCUGUAAGCCUGUGAAGGUGUGUCGUGAGGCAUGCUGGAGGUAUCAGAAGUGCGAAUGCUGACAUAAGUAACGAUAAAGCGGGUGAAAAGCCCGCUCGCCGGAAGACCAAGGGUUCCUGUCCAACGUUAAUCGGGGCAGGGUGAGUCGACCCCUAAGGCGAGGCCGAAAGGCGUAGUCGAUGGGAAACGGGUUAAUAUUCCCGUACUUGGUGUUACUGCGAAGGGGGGACGGAGAAGGCUAUGUUGGCCGGGCGACGGUUGUCCCGGUUUAAGCGUGUAGGUGUGUGUUCCAGGUAAAUCCGGUUCACUUUAACACUGAGGCGUGACGACGAGGCACUACGGUGCUGAAGCAACAAAUGCCCUGCUUCCAGGAAAAGCCUCUAAGCAUCAGGUAACACGAAAUCGUACCCCAAACCGACACAGGUGGUCAGGUAGAGAAUACCAAGGCGCUUGAGAGAACUCGGGUGAAGGAACUAGGCAAAAUGGUGCCGUAACUUCGGGAGAAGGCACGCUGACACGUAGGUGAAGUGAUUUACUCAUGGAGCUGAAGUCAGUCGAAGAUACCAGCUGGCUGCAACUGUUUAUUAAAAACACAGCACUGUGCAAACACGAAAGUGGACGUAUACGGUGUGACGCCUGCCCGGUGCCGGAAGGUUAAUUGAUGGGGUCAGCGCAAGCGAAGCUCCUGAUCGAAGCCCCGGUAAACGGCGGCCGUAACUAUAACGGUCCUAAGGUAGCGAAAUUCCUUGUCGGGUAAGUUCCGACCUGCACGAAUGGCGUAAUGAUGGCCAGGCUGUCUCCACCCGAGACUCAGUGAAAUUGAACUCGCUGUGAAGAUGCAGUGUACCCGCGGCAAGACGGAAAGACCCCGUGAACCUUUACUAUAGCUUGACACUGAACAUUGAGCCUUGAUGUGUAGGAUAGGUGGGAGGCUUUGAAGUGUGGACGCCAGUCUGCAUGGAGCCGACCUUGAAAUACCACCCUUUAAUGUUUGAUGUUCUAACGUGGACCCGUAAUCCGGGUUGCGGACAGUGUCUGGUGGGUAGUUUGACUGGGGCGGUCUCCUCCUAAAGAGUAACGGAGGAGCACGAAGGUUGGCUAAUCCUGGUCGGACAUCAGGAGGUUAGUGCAAUGGCAUAAGCCAGCUUGACUGCGAGCGUGACGGCGCGAGCAGGUGCGAAAGCAGGUCAUAGUGAUCCGGUGGUUCUGAAUGGAAGGGCCAUCGCUCAACGGAUAAAAGGUACUCCGGGGAUAACAGGCUGAUACCGCCCAAGAGUUCAUAUCGACGGCGGUGUUUGGCACCUCGAUGUCGGCUCAUCACAUCCUGGGGCUGAAGUAGGUCCCAAGGGUAUGGCUGUUCGCCAUUUAAAGUGGUACGCGAGCUGGGUUUAGAACGUCGUGAGACAGUUCGGUCCCUAUCUGCCGUGGGCGCUGGAGAACUGAGGGGGGCUGCUCCUAGUACGAGAGGACCGGAGUGGACGCAUCACUGGUGUUCGGGUUGUCAUGCCAAUGGCACUGCCCGGUAGCUAAAUGCGGAAGAGAUAAGUGCUGAAAGCAUCUAAGCACGAAACUUGCCCCGAGAUGAGUUCUCCCUGAGACUUUAGGUCUCCUGAAGGAACGUUGAAGACGACGACGUUGAUAGGCCGGGUGUGUAAGCGCAGCGAUGCGUUGAGCUAACCGGUACUAAUGAACCGUGAGGCUUAACCUU
rnacentral:rRNA from 7 species